UGUUUUUUUGCGAAAAUCGUGAAAAAUGGAUGUCCCUUUUUCCGAUUGCAGUCGAUUGGCAGGACUCGCCCGAUAAUGCAGAGCCAUGCCACGCCCCGAUCGGUCCAUAAAUAAUCGAGAUAUAGCCAAAGAAAAUAUGAAAAUGUCGGCAUUUUUGUCGCAAGUUGAAGAUUGUUGUUGUACCAUAACAAAAAUCGGUAGAUUUUUGUUGUAGAACAAUUAACAACAACAAGCCAGGUUUGUAUUAUUGUUUUCUCCGCUAUUUGUGGCCCGAUCAGUGUGAUGGCUUCCUGUGAUCAAAGAAGUGCACCCGAUUCAAUGGAGCCCUUAUCUCGGAUCCAGAAUAUUUUUCCCAAUCAAACAUAAUAGUAUUUAUCUAUUUAUUUUAUUAUUCGACAACGGAAUCAGAAUAAUCCUUAUCUAACUUAUUUCUAUCUUAAAAAAUAACAAAAAAUUACAAAAUCAUGCAUGAAAUAGGAAAAAUUCUAGAAUCAACCGUCUGAUGGCUCCUUUCCCCUGGCAAAACUCAAAUCGCAUCGCAGCUGGCAACGCACUGUGCUGACGAAAAGCCCAAAAGAUGGGCCCAUUGUUGCCAUAGUUGGUCUGGUGGAGAUUAACCACAAAGGUUGGGUGGGCUUAGGCUCCAGGCAGGCGCACUCAAGCCCAUCCUACUAAGCCGGUCAGGGCAAUCGAUGUUAACCACUAGGAGGUUAUAGACAUAGAUCUGAGCAGCAAUGGUCCUUCCAUCUUAGAGGGAGGAGAUAUGCACGACACGAAAUCUGCGAACUUUCUGGAUUAGAUCCCAGGCUCUUCGGCUCUAAGCCAGGUCUGACGCCCAUUCAUACGCCGCCGAAUCAAACGAUGGGCUACAGCUUCAAAACGGAGGACUUAUGUACCCUUCGCUUUGCCACAAACCGAGUCGUAUCAGAAUUACUCCGCCAAAAGGAGUCCUAUCCAAGCAUUACCGAGGCGUAUUCGAGAUAGACCGAUUCCAAUCCCAGCCAGACAGAAUCGUAUCCCAGCAGGACAGAUGCGCACCCCUGCAUGAUCCGAACGUAAGAAGCCAUCGUCAUCCUUCGACCUGGCCAUCGACAACAAGGACUUUGACAAUGACAACCAAGGGAGAGGCUACGCGAGAUACUAGAUAUUAUAUAGAUAUCGUUGUUCUUAGGUUUAAGAUAGAUACAAAUGUUUUCCACUUGUUUAUUUAUUUGUACUAAGCUAAGUUUUGAUCAAUAAAGUUAUUGAAAAUCA